GAAAUGCGAUAAGUAAUGUGAAUUGCAGAAUUCAGUGAAUCAUCGAAUCUUUGAACGCACAUUCCGCCCGCCAGCACUCUGGCGGGCAUGCCUGUUCGAGCGUCAUUUCAACCCUCAGAACCCCUUGCGGGAUCUGGCGUUGGGGAUUGGCAUCCAGCCAGCCCCGAAAUCUAGUGGCGGUCCCUCCGCGACCUCCCCUGUGCAGUAGCGAUACCUCGCAGCGGGACAGCGGUCUGACCACGCCGUAAAACCCCCAACUUCUCAAGGUUGACCUCGAAUCAGGUAGGAAUACCCGCUGAACUUAAGC
rnacentral:misc_RNA from 1 species